rnacentral:rRNA from 1 species
AGGAUGAACGCUGGCGGCGUGCUUAACACAUGCAAGUCGAACGGUGAAAGAGGAGCUUGCUCCUCUGGAUCAGUGGCGAACGGGUGAGUAACACGUGAGUAACCUGCCCUUGACUCUGGGAUAAGCGUUGGAAACGACGUCUAAUACCGGAUACGACCUCCGAAGGCAUCUUCUGGAGGUGGAAAGAAUUUCGGUCAAGGAUGGACUCGCGGCCUAUCAGCUAGUUGGUGAGGUAAUGGCCCACCAAGGCGACGACGGGUAGCCGGCCUGAGAGGGUGACCGGCCACACUGGGACUGAGACACGGCCCAGACUCCUACGGGAGGCAGCAGUGGGGAAUAUUGCACAAUGGGCGCAAGCCUGAUGCAGCAACGCCGCGUGAGGGACGACGGCCUUCGGGUUGUAAACCUCUUUAGUAGGGAAGAAGCGAAAGUGACGGUACCUGCAGAAAAGCACCGGCUAACUACGUGCCAGCAGCCGC